rnacentral:rRNA from 1 species
CCUGUUUAACAAAAACAUGUCUUUUUGAGUUAUAUUUAAAGUCUGACCUGCCCACUGAAAUUGUUUAAAUGGCCGCAGUAUUUUAACUGUGCAAAGGUAGCAUAAUCAUUAGUCUUUUAAUUGAAGGCUGGUAUGAAUGGUUGGACGAAGUAUAAGCUGUUUCAUAUAAAUUUAUAGUAGAAUUUUAUAUUUUAGUUAAAAAGCUAAAAUUUAGUUAAAAGACGAGAAGACCCUAUAAAUCUUUAUAUUUUAUGUUGUUUUAAUUUUUUAGAUUUAUUUUAUUUUUAUAGUUUAGAAUAUUUUGUUGGGGUGAUAUUAAAAUUUAAUGAACUUUUAAUUAUUUAGAAUCAUUAAUUUAUGUUUUAUUGAUCCGUUAAUAGUGAUUAUAAGAUCAAGUUACUUUAGGGAUAACAGCGUAAUUUUUUUGGAGAGUUCAUAUCGAUAAAAAGGGUUGCGACCUCGAUGUUGGAUUAAGAAAUAUUUUUAGGUGUAGUGGCUUAAAU